CAAUCUUUACACUCAAUGCUCAC
rnacentral:piRNA from 1 species